rnacentral:misc_RNA from 1 species
GGUUCCAUUAUAGAAGACAGUAGUGAUGGUUUCAGUGACAUGUGGUUUUACUUGAGCAUUGGCUUGGGAUUUGCAGUAGGUAUUUUAGUUCCUUUUCUGAUUUUUUCUAUCAGAAAACCUUGGAGCCAUGCCUACUUCUUGCUUGUGGACAAAACUGUUGAUAGACUACUAUAUUUGGCCUGCAAAACUGCUACUCGUUUCAGGAAUCGUUGCAAUUUCCAAGCCUAAUUUCAUUAAGUGCUUUAGUGCAAAUCCGGUGGAAGUGAGUUUCAUAUAAAAUAAAGGCAUGUAAUUCAUCUGGUCUUGUCCUACUCUGUUGCAUAACAUAAUCUCUUUUAGCUUCACGCAUUUUGUAACAUAUUAGUGAAUUUGCAUCAAUUCAUGGUAGACAAGAUGUUUCACCUUCAUUUUAGCUUCAAG